rnacentral:rRNA from 1 species
UACGUAGGGGGCAAGCGUUGUCCGGAAUCACUGGGCGUAAAGCGCGUGUAGGCGGCUCGUUAAGUCUGCUGUGAAAGUCCAAGGCUCAACCUUGGGAUGCCGGUGGAUACUGUCGAGCUCGAGUCCGGAAGAGGAGUGUGGAAUUCCUGGUGUAGCGGUGAAAUGCGCAGAUAUCAGGAGGAACACCAAUGGCGAAGGCAGCACUCUGGGACGUGACUGACGCUGAGACGCGAAAGCGUGGGGAGCAAACAGG